ACAAGAGGAGGUGGUUCUUUGCACAGUGUGUUGCUAAGCUCUGACAUUCCGUACCUGAUGACAUGACAAACACUAGAAGUUUCUCUGGGUCCAAGGAGGCAGCAGUUCGGAAAACCAAGCCAAAACUAUAAACACAGCAUGCAAACUCAGGAGUAGUCAAGAGUGUGCCUACCUGCUCAGCACCUGAUAGAAACUAUCAAGAAGUUGUCCCCAUGGAAAGUGUCUCCUGAAUCAUACUGAAGGCAAUAAGAGAGAGUCUGUGGUUAAAACUUCUGCCUACAACCAAAUUCUGAGAAUUGGUGUUGUGACUCCCAUCUUCAAAAAGAGCAUAAUAAUUAGAUAACGAGGAGAAUAGUCCAUAUACAAGGAACAAAGAUGCUCCAUGCAAGUAUACCACUUUUUACAAUUAAUAUACAAUGCUAAGUGGUUUUUAACUCUUAAAAUAAUAAAAAUAUGUGGUAUAUGUAUGCUGGUUUGAGUAAUUUCUUUCUUCAAGUUACUGGACUGAAUUUAUUUUUUAUUUAAACAUAAUGUCACACUUAUCUCCUUUAGCAAGGUCUUUGCAGAGGCCUUUACAUGUCCAUUUUUGUCAGAAAACCGAUUUUCAAUUUUUCAGUUGGAAGGCCCAUAAAAAUGUGCAGUGUAGUAGGAAGAGCAAAUUUAAACCUGUGAAAGUUCUCUUGGUGAGUUUUUGGUACUUGAGUCCACCAAUGCUUUGAGGGUCUCUGGAAUUUGAAACAACUUAUUAAGAUUCUUAAUGCUUAUAAAAUAAGUAAAUGAAACUUACCAACCCCUUCUCUACAUGGACACUAACAAUUUAUUCCAAGUACGUUGCUGACUUUGCCAACAGCUUGCUUAGCACAUUCAUUCAUGCAUUAACUAGAGAUUUUCUUUCAAGUAACUUGCUGGCAUAUAUGUGACUGGCAAUGGAAGAUGGUCUGGCCAUGUGUGAGUCUUCACCCCACAGAUGUACUUCUCUCUUGUUGAUUGCCUCUGAUAUCCUAAGACAAGACUCCAGGAGGAACUCUCUGGAUGCUCUUGUAAGGAAUACAUUCACUUUUAGGCAGAAAGAAGUACAAAAAGAUCUUCCUACUCUGGACAAAGUCACCGGAAUAUGUCAGUGCAAGUAUUUUACUUUUCAUGGAAUCAUGGAAUCACUCUGUGAGUCACGCAGGCAAGACGUGCGGCUUCCUCCGCUGGUGAGUAAGUGGGCUGAUUAGAAGAGGCCUCUAGGGAGCGCGGUGAACAGGAGCAGGCAAGCA
rnacentral:lncRNA from 1 species